rnacentral:rRNA from 1 species
AACGAACGCUGGCGGCAUGCCUAACACAUGCAAGUCGAACGAGACCUUCGGGUCUAGUGGCGCACGGGUGCGUAACGCGUGGGAACCUGCCCUUAGGUUCGGAAUAACUCCCCGAAAGGGGUGCUAAUACCGGAUAAUGUCUUCGGACCAAAGAUUUAUCGCCUUUGGAUGGGCCCGCGUUGGAUUAGCUAGUUGGUAGGGUAAAAGCCUACCAAGGCGACGAUCCAUAGCUGGUCUGAGAGGAUGAUCAGCCACACUGGGACUGAGACACGGCCCAGACUCCUACGGGAGGCAGCAGUGGGGAAUAUGAGACGAUGGGCGAAAGCCUGAUCCAGCAAUGCCGCGUGAGUGAUGAAGGCCUUAGGGUUGUAAAGCUCUUUUACCCGGGAUGAUAAUGACAGUACCGGGAGAAUAAGCUCCGGCUAACUCCGUG